rnacentral:rRNA from 1 species
AGAUUAAGUUAUUAAGGGCGCACGGUGGAUGCCUUGGCACUAGAAGCCGAUGAAGGACGUUACUAACGACGAUAUGAUUUGGGGAGCUGUAAGUAAGCGUUGAUCCAGAGAUUUCCGAAUGGGGAAACCCAGCAUGAGUUAUGUCAUGUUAUCGAUAUGUGAAUACAUAGCAUAUCAGAAGGCAGACCCGGAGAACUGAAACAUCUUAGUACCCGGAGGAAGAGAAAGAAAAAUCGAUUCCCUGAGUAGCGGCGAGCGAAACGGGAAGAGCCCAAACCAACAAGCUUGCUUGUUGGGGUUGUAGGACACUCUAUACGGAGUUACAAAAGUAUAUAUUAGACGAAUCAUCUGGAAAGUUGAAUCAAAGAAGGUAAUAAUCCUGUAGUCGAAAAUAUAUACUCUCUUGAGUGGAUCCUGAGUACGACGGAGCACGUGAAAUUCCGUCGGAAUCUGGGAGGACCAUCUCCUAAGGCUAAAUACUCUCUAGUGACCGAUAGUGAACCAGUACCGUGAGGGAAAGGUGAAAAGUACCCCGGAAGGGGAGUGAAAGAGAACUUGAAACCGUGUGCUUACAAGUAGUCAGAGCCCGUUAAUGGGUGAUGGCGUGCCUUUUGUAGAAUGAACCGGCGAGUUACGAUUUGAUGCAAGGUUAAGCAGCUAAUGUGGAGCCGUAGCGAAAGCGAGUCUGAAUAGGGCGUUUAGUAUUUGGUCGUAGACCCGAAACCAGGUGAUCUACCCUUGGUCAGGUUGAAGUUCAGGUAACACUGAAUGGAGGACCGAACCGACUUACGUUGAAAAGUGAGCGGAUGAACUGAGGGUAGCGGAGAAAUUCCAAUCGAACUUGGAGAUAGCUGGUUCUCUCCGAAAUAGCUUUAGGGCUAGCCUCAAGUGAUGAUUAUUGGAGGUAGAGCACUGUUUGGACGAGGGGCCCUUCUCGGGUUACCGAAUUCAGACAAACUCCGAAUGCCAAUCAAUUUAACUUGGGAGUCAGAACAUGGGUGAUAAGGUCCGUGUUCGAAAGGGAAACAGCCCAGACCACCAGCUAAGGUCCCAAAAUAUAUGUUAAGUGGAAAAGGAUGUGGCGUUGCCCAGACAACUAGGAUGUUGGCUUAGAAGCAGCCAUCAUUUAAAGAGUGCGUAAUAGCUCACUAGUCGAGUGACACUGCGCCGAAAAUGUACCGGGGCUAAACAUAUUACCGAAGCUGUGGAUUGUCCGUAGGACAAUGGUAGGAGAGCGUUCUAAGGGCGUCGAAGCAUGAUCGCAAGGACAUGUGGAGCGCUUAGAAGUGAGAAUGCCGGUGUGAGUAGCGAAAGACGGGUGAGAAUCCCGUCCACCGAUUGACUAAGGUUUCCAGAGGAAGGCUCGUCCGCUCUGGGUUAGUCGGGUCCUAAGCUGAGGCCGAUAGGCGUAGGCGAUGGAUAACAGGUUGAUAUUCCUGUACCACCUAGUAUCGUUUUAAUCGAUGGGGGGACGCAGUAGGAUAGGCGAAGCGUGCUAUUGGAUUGCACGUCCAAGCAGUAAGACUGAGUGUUAGGCAAAUCCGGCACUCAUAAGGUCAAGCUGUGAUGGGGAGAGGAAAUUGUUUCCUCGAGUCGUUGAUUUCACACUGCCAAGAAAAGCCUCUAGAUAGAUAACAGGUGCCCGUACCGUACCGCAAACCGACACAGGUAGUCAAGAUGAGAAUUCUAAGGUGAGCGAGCGAACUCUCGUUAAGGAACUCGGCAAAAUGACCCCGUAACUUCGGGAGAAGGGGUGCUCUUUAGGGUUAACGCCCAGAAGAGCCGCAGUGAAUAGGCCCAAGCGACUGUUUAUCAAAAACACAGGUCUCUGCUAAACCGUAAGGUGAUGUAUAGGGGCUGACGCCUGCCCGGUGCUGGAAGGUUAAGAGGAGUAGUUAGCUUCUGCGAAGCUACGAAUCGAAGCCCCAGUAAACGGCGGCCGUAACUAUAACGGUCCUAAGGUAGCGAAAUUCCUUGUCGGGUAAGUUCCGACCCGCACGAAAGGCGUAACGAUUUGGGCACUGUCUCAACGAGAGACUCGGUGAAAUCAUAGUACCUGUGAAGAUGCAGGUUACCCGCGACAGGACGGAAAGACCCCGUGGAGCUUUACUGUAGCCUGAUAUUGAAAUUCGGCACAGCUUGUACAGGAUAGGUAGGAGCCUUUGAAACGUGAGCGCUAGCUUACGUGGAGGCAUUGGUGGGAUACUACCCUAGCUGUGUUGGCUUUCUAACCCGCACCACUUAUCGUGGUGGGAGACAGUGUCAGG